CUUUCUCUUUCUUACACUUUCACACUCUUUUCUAUUCUCCUCUCUCCUUUAAAUAUUCUUCUUUUCAUUGCAAGCGGUGGAAAUAGCAUCGUCUUCUUCUCUUUACCUUAGCAUAUAGGAAUAUCAUUCUUUAUUUUCUCUACCCUUCUUUUCUUAUAUACUUCGAUCCUCCUUCAACCUUUUACAUAAAUUGAUGUUGUUUAAAAUGGACAAGGGUGCAAGCUCCAAUGUCAAAUGAAAAAGUAGAGAUGCAGAGAAGAUUGGGAGAUAGCACAAGGAAUGCAACUGAAGUUGGAAAAACACUAAGUAGAGACAGAAAAUUGGCUUUGCAACAAGAUGUGGAAAGGUUGAAGAAGAAGCUUAGGCACGAAGAGAAUAUUCACAGGGCAUUGAAAAGAGCUUUCAAUAGGCCUUUGGGUUCACUUCCUCGUCUUCCUUCUUAUCUCCCUCUCAAUACACUGGGACUUGUGGCUGAGGUGGCAGUAUUGGAGGAAGAAAUUGUAAGGCUUGAAGAACAAGUGAUGCAUUUCAGGCACAAUUUGUACCAGGAAACUAUCUACAUCUCAUCCUCGAAGAUGAAACUCGAUAACGCAAGCCCGUCUAAUAGUCGAAAACAUGGUAAAUUGAAGUCACUUUCACAAACAAUAGGUAAUGCUGCAACAUCUGCAACUAAGACUACAACAACACUUUCAGGUUAGUAACUGGAUAGUGUCAUUAAUUGAGGUUAAGGUGUUUCACAAUUGAGCUAGCAUUUCGCGAAAAUAACCGAAUUAUCGCAUACUUAUAGAGCAGAGUAAAUACAUGCUCUAACAUUAACUUUAUGUGAUCUAGGCUAGAUUCUAGAAUGUAAUACUUAAUGUGGUUUAUACCUUGUGAUUGUUCUACCAGUGGAUAGACAAGGAAAAGAGAAUGAAUCAUGUUCUAAUCCAUCUAAGAGAAGCAAGCAAUCAACUUGUACAGGGCAAGCAACAAAGAAUCCUACUAAGAAGUUAUCCAUUGAUAAUAAAUCAUUGCAGAAAAGUUGUGAUUUUCCGAAAAGGCAGCAAGAACUACGGCCAAGUAACCUGCCGAUUGCAGAAGUUAGAAAUCAUAGUCCACAUGAAAAACCAUUAGGAUAUGAAAGCCCGAAUAUAAUCUCGGAAAAUAUUCUGAAGUGUUUAUCAAGCAUUCUGUUGAGAAUGAGUGGAGCCAAAAGUCCUGGUUCUGCAGUUGAUAUAUCGGUAUCACCCUCGUGGGAUCAAAAACCUCGAAACUGUAUUGAAGGAAGAGAGUUUUGGGAUCCUUAUGGUAUCUGUUUGGAAUCUGGAAAGAGGGAUAUUGGUCAAUACACUCAAUUACGUGCGGUUGAAGCUAAAUCUUUCAAUCCAAAACGAACUGCAAAUUCUUUGUUUUUGCUGCAUCGAUUGAAAAUUCUUUUGAGAAAACUAGCUGGUGUCAACUUAGAGAAUCUCAACCAUCAAGAGAAGCUAGCAUUCUGGAUCAACAUAUACAACUCUUGUAUAAUGAAUGCAUUCAUAGAAAAUGGCAUACCAGAGAGUCCUGACAUGGUUGUUUCUCUGAUGCACAAGGCAACGAUAAAUGUGGGCGGACACUUGCUAAGUGCACCAACCAUAGAACAUUGCAUUUUAAGACUUCCUUAUAGCUGGAAAUUGCUAAAUUCAAAACAGACAUUAUCAAAGGAAGUCAAAAAUUAUGAAAUGACAUUAAGAAGCUUAUAUGGGCUAGAAUUAUCAAAAGCUCUAGUGAUAUUUGCUCUCUCUUGUGGAACAUGGUCCUCUCCU
rnacentral:lncRNA from 1 species